UACGUAGAUGGCAAGCGUUGUCCGGAUUUAUUGGGCGUAAAGCGAGCGCAGGCGGUUCUUUAAGUCUGAUGUGAAAGCCCCUGGCUCAACCAGGGAGGGUCAUUGGAAACUGGAGAACUUGAGUGCAGAAGAGGAAAGUGGAAUUCCAUGUGUAGCGGUGAAAUGCGUAGAUAUAUGGAGGAACACCAGUGGCGAAGGCGACUUUCUGGUCUGUAACUGACGCUGAGGCUCGAAAGCAUGGGGAG
rnacentral:rRNA from 1 species